AUACGGAGGGGGUUAGCGUUGUUCGGAAUAACUGGGCGUAAAGCGCACGUAGGCGGAAUGUUAAGUUAGAGGUGAAAUCCCAGGGCUCAACCCUGGAACUGCCUUUAAUACUGGCAAUCUAGAGACCGAGAGAGGUGAGUGGAAUUCCGAGUGUAGAGGUGAAAUUCGUAGAUAUUCGGAGGAACACCAGUGGCGAAGGCGGCUCACUGGCUCGGUACUGACGCUGAGGUGUGAAAGCGUGGGGAGCAAACAGGAUUAGAAACCCCAGUAGUCC
rnacentral:rRNA from 1 species